rnacentral:rRNA from 1 species
UGCAAGUCGAGCGGAACGAGUUAUCUGAACCUUCGGGGGACGAUAACGGCGUCGAGCGGCGGACGGGUGAGUAAUGCCUAGGAAAUUGCCCCGAUGUGGGGGAUAACCAUUGGAAACGAUGGCUAAUACCGCAUAAUGCCUACGGGCCAAAGAGGGGGACCUUCGGGCCUCUCGCGUCAGGAUAUGCCUAGGUGGGAUUAGCUAGUUGGUGAGGUAAGGGCUCACCAAGGCGACGAUCCCUAGCUGGUCUGAGAGGAUGAUCAGCCACACUGGAACUGAGACACGGUCCAGACUCCUACGGGAGGCAGCAGUGGGGAAUAUUGCACAAUGGGCGCAAGCCUGAUGCAGCCAUGCCGCGUGUGUGAAGAAGGCCUUCGGGUUGUAAAGCACUUUCAGUCGUGAGGAAGGCGGUAUCGUUAAUAGCGAUAUUGUUUGACGUUAGCGACAGAAGAAGCACCGGCUAACUCCGUGCCAGCAGCCGCGGUAAUACGGAGGGUGCGAGCGUUAAUCGGAAUUACUGGGCGUAAAGCGCAUGCAGGUGGUUUGUUAAGUCGGAUGUGAAAGCCCGGGGCUCAACCUCGGAAUAGCAUUUGAAGCUGGCAGACUAGAGUACUGUAGAGGGGGGUAGAAUUUCAGGUGUAGCGGUGAAAUGCGUAGAGAUCUGAAGGAAUACCGGUGGCGAAGGCGGCCCCCUGGACAGAUACUGACACUCAGAUGCGAAAGCGUGGGGAGCAAACAGGAUUAGAUACCUGGUAGUCCACGCCGUAAACGAUGUCUACUUGGAGGUUGUGGCCUUGAGCCGUGGCUCUCGGAGCUAACGCGUUAAGUAGACCGCCUGGGGAGUACGGUCGCAAGAUUAAAACUCAAAUGAAUUGACGGGGGCCCGCACAAGCGGUGGAGCA